UACAGAGACUGCAAGCGUUAUUCGGAAUUACUGGGCGUAAAGCGCACGUAGGCGGCUUUGUAAGUUAGAGGUGAAAGCCCGGGGCUCAACUCCGGAAUUGCCUUUAAGACUGCAUCGCUCGAAUUGUGGAGAGGUAAGUGGAAUUCCGAGUGUAGAGGUGAAAUUCGUAGAUAUUCGGAAGAACACCAGUGGCGAAGGCGACUUACUGGACACAUAUUGACGCUGAGGUGCGAAAGCGUGGGGAGCAAACAGG
rnacentral:rRNA from 1 species